rnacentral:tRNA from 1 species
GGCAUGUUGCCAGAGUGGUUAAUGGGUGAGACUUGAAUUCAAUUGAAUGAAGCCAUCUCAUGGCUUAGGCCGCGUAGGUUCAAAUCCUGCACAUGUCG